GGAAGGGUGGCUGAGUGGUCGAAGGCACCGGUUUGGAGUACCGGCAUGGGGGAAACCUCAUCGGGAGUUCGAAUCUCCCCCCUUCCG
rnacentral:tRNA from 1 species